rnacentral:rRNA from 1 species
UACAGAGGGUGCGAGCGUUAAUCGGAAUUACUGGGCGUAAAGCGCACGUAGUCGGCUUUGCAAGUCGGGUGUGAAAUCCCCGGGCUCAACCCUGGGAACUGCAUCCGAGACUGCAUUGCUAGAGUAUGGGAGAGGGGAAGCGGAAUUUCUGGUGUAGCAGUGAAAUGCGUAGAUAUCAGAAGGAACAUCAGUGGCGAAGGCGGCUUCCCUGGA